rnacentral:rRNA from 1 species
AGAGUUUGAUCAUGGCUCAGAAUGAACGCUGGCGGCGUGCUUAACACAUGCAAGUCGAACGAGAAAGCUUUAGCUUGCUAAAGCGAGUACAGUGGCGCACGGGUGAGUAACGCGUGGGUAAUCUACCUUUGAAUUUGGGAUAACACUUCGAAAGGGGUGCUAAUACCGGAUAACAUCUUUGCCAUUGCGGUGGUGGAGAUCAAAGAUGGCCUCUUCUUGAAAGCUAUUGUUUGAAGAUGAGCCCGCGUACCAUUAGCUUGUUGGUGGGGUAAUGGCCUACCAAGGCGACGAUGGUUAGCUGGUCUGAGAGGAUGAUCAGCCACACUGGAACUGGAACACGGUCCGGACUCCUACGGGAGGCAGCAGUGAGGAAUUUUGCGCAAUGGGGGAAACCCUGACGCAGCAACGCCGCGUGAGUGAUGAAGGCUUUCGGGUCGUAAAGCUCUGUCAAGUGGGAAGAAGUUGUGUAUGGUUAAUAACUGUGCACAUCGACGGUACCACUGAAGGAAGCACCGGCUAACUCCGUGCCAGCAGCCGCGGUAAUACGGAGGGUGCAAGCGUUAUUCGGAUUUACUGGGCGUAAAGGGCGCGUAGGCGGCUUGAUAAGUCAGUCGUGAAAGCCCGGGGCUCAACCCCGGAAGUGCGAUUGAAACUAUCAGGCUUGAGUAUGGUAGAGGGAAGUGGAAUUCCAGGUGUAGCGGUGAAAUGCGUAGAUAUCUGGAGGAACACCGGUGGCGAAGGCGACUUCCUGGACCAAUACUGACGCUGAUGCGCGAAGGUGUGGGUAGCAAACAGGAUUAGAUACCCUGGUAGUCC